rnacentral:rRNA from 1 species
CUGGCGGCGCACAUAAGACAUGCAAGUCGAACGGAAGUCGUAUAAUUGAGACGGAAUGAAGAUUAUCGGAAUGAAGUUGAUUUAUAACAAUGGCUUAGUGGCGGACUGGUGAGUAACGCGUGAGCAACCUGCCUAACAGAGGGGAAUAACAGUGAGAAAUCAUUGCUAAUACCGCAUAUGCCAAGAGUAUCGCAUGGUACAAUUGGGAAAGGAGUAAUCCGCUGAUAGAUGGGCUCGCGUCUGAUUAGAUAGUUGGUGGGGUAAUGGCCUACCAAGUCAAUGAUCAGUAGCCGGACUGAGAGGUUGAACGGCCACAUUGGGACUGAGAUACGGCCCAGACUCCUACGGGAGGCAGCAGUCGGGAAUAUUGCGCAAUGGAGGAAACUCUGACGCAGUGACGCCGCGUAUAGGAAGAAGGUUUUCGGAUUGUAAACUAUUGUCGUAGGGGAAGAUAAAAGACAGUACCCUAGGAGGAAGCUCCGGCUAACUACGUGCCAGCCGCCGC